AGUGAACGCUGGCGGCGUGCCUAAUACAUGCAAGUCGAACGAAGUGGCGCACGGGUGAGUAAUAUAUAGUUAAUCUGCCCUACACAGAGGAACAACAGUUGGAAACGGCUGCUAAUACCUCAUAGGUUAGGAUGAGACUAUGUCGUAUCAGCUAGUUGGUAAGGUAAUGGCUUACCAAGGCGAUGACGCGUAACUGGUCUGAGAGGAUGAUCACUCGAAUUCUAACGGAGACACCAGCCAGGCACCUACGAGAGGCAGCAGUAAGGAAUAUUACGCAAUGGGGGAAACCCUGACGCAGCAACGCCGCGUGAAGGACUAUACUUUGCGGAGCGUAAACUCCUGUUAUUAGGAAAGCGGUACCUGAUGAAUAAGCACCGGCUAACUCCGUGCCAGCAGCCGCGGUAAUUC
rnacentral:rRNA from 1 species